rnacentral:rRNA from 1 species
UAGGGAAUCUUCCGCAAUGGACGAAAGUCCGACGGAGCAACGCCGCGUGAGUGAAGAAGGAUUUCGGUUCGUAAAACUCUGUUGUUAGGGAAGAAAAAAUGUAUAGUAACUAUAUACAAAAGAGACGGUACCUAACCAGAAAGCCACGGCUAACUACGUGCCAGCAGCCGCGGUAAUACGUAGGGGGCUAGCGUUAUCCGGAUUUACUGGGCGUAAAGGGUGCGUAGGUGGUCUUUCAAGUCGGUGGUUAAAGGCUACGGCUCAACCGUAGUUAGCCUCCGAAACUGGAAGACUUGAGUGCAGGGGAGGGAAGUGGAAAUCCCAGUGGAGCGGUGAAAUGCGUAAAUAUUGGGAGGAACACCAGUAGCGAAGGCGGCUUUCUGGACUGCAACUGACACUGAGGCACGAAAGCGUGGGUAGCAAACAGG